AGAGUUUGAUCCUGGCUCAGAACGAACGCUGGCGGCAGGCCUAACACAUGCAAGUCGAACGUGAAAGUCCUUCGGGAUGAGUAAAGUGGCGCACGGGUGAGUAACACGUGGGAACGUGCCCUUGGGUACGGAAUAACAGCGGGAAACUGCUGCUAAUACCGUAUGAUGUCUUCGGACCAAAGAUUUAUCGCCCAAGGAGCGGCCCGCGCCUGAUUAGCUAGUUGGUGAGGUAAUGGCUCACCAAGGCAACGAUCAGUAGCUGGUCUGAGAGGAUGAUCAGCCACACUGGGAUUGAGACACGGCCCAGACUCCUACGGGAGGCAGCAGUGGGGAAUAUUGGACAAUGGGCGAAAGCCUGAUCCAGCCAUGCCGCGUGAGUGAAGAAGGCCUUAGGGUUGUAAAGCUCUUUCGGGUGGGAAGAUGAUGACGGUACCACCAAAAGAAGCCCCGGCUAACUUCGUGCCAGCAGCCGCGGUAAUACGAAGGGGGCAAGCGUUGUUCGGAAUCACUGGGCGUAAAGCGUGCGCAGGCGGGUCAUUAAGUCAGAGGUGAAAUCCCAGGGCUCAACCUUGGAAUUGCCUUUGAUACUGGUGGCCUAGAGUUCGUGAGAGGGGUGUGGAAUUCCUAGUGUAGCGGUGAAAUGCGUAGAUAUUAGGAGGAACACCAGUGGCGAAGGCGACACCCUGGCGCGAUACUGACGCUCAUGCACGAAAGCGUGGGGAGCAAACAGGAUUAGAUACCCUGGUAGUCCACGCCGUAAACGAUGAGAGCUAGGUGUCGGAACCUUUCGGUUUCGGUGCCGCAGCUAACGCAUUAAGCUCUCCGCCUGGGGAGUACGGUCGCAAGAUUAAAACUCAAAGGAAUUGACGGGGACCCGCACAAGCGGUGGAGCAUGUGGUUUAAUUCGAGGCAACGCGAAGAACCUUACCAGGCCUUGACAUCCCGGUCAUAGUUUCCCGAAAAGGAAGCGUCAGUUAGGCUGGACCGGUGACAGGUGCUGCAUGGCUGUCGUCAGCUCGUGUCGUGAGAUGUUGGGUUAAGUCCCGCAACGAGCGCAACCCUCGCCCUUAGUUGCCAGCACGUUAUGGUGGGAACUCUAAGGGAACCGCCGGCGUUAAGCCGGAGGAAGGUGGGGAUGACGUCAAGUCUUCAUGGCCCUUACGGCCUGGGCUACACACGUGCUACAAUGGCGGUGACAGAGGGACGCUACUCCGUGAGGAGAUGCCAAUCUCAAAAAGCCGUCUCAGUUCGGAUUGCAGGCUGCAACUCGCCUGCAUGAAGUCGGAAUCGCUAGUAAUCGUGGAUCAGCACGCCACGGUGAAUACGUUCCCGGGUCUUGUACACACCGCCCGUCACACCAUGGGAGUUGCUUUUACCCGAAGCUGGUGAGCUAACCGCAAGGAGGCAGCCAACCACGGUAGGGGUAGCGACUGGGGUGAAGUCGUAACAAGGUAACC
rnacentral:rRNA from 2 species